AGGAAAAUAAACAAGGCCUCUACAUCACAGUUGAGAUUUUAUAUCAUUCUUGUGCUUCAGAAGAGCAUGCCUGCUAAAAGUUUUGGUAGGGAAGCUUCUUUACACCUUUUCCAUUUAAUUAGUUCGCUUCCCUGUCUCCUUUUGGACAGCUUAGCUUGACCUGGGGAAUCUUCAGGAAUCUGUGACAUCAGUUGAGCCCCAGAAGGGCAGCGUGACCACAGAAGUGCUGAACAAGGAGAAGGCCCUGCUGCAGACAAGCAGCUAGAGUGAGAAUAAAAACAACAGGAUCACAGGGGCAACUCUGCACGAUCCAUGUGACAUUGGCCUGUCUCUUUUUGGAGUAAGAAUCAAGACAACCAGAUCACAGAGACAGACCCUUCCUGAUCCACGUGACAUUGGUAUCUUCCAUAUUGUCCAUUCAAACAACGUGUUCAAGCAUCCUUGGGAAGUUCAGCUGGAGGACAACAGGCUACACAAGCUAUAAACACUUUGUAACUCUUUGUAGUUCUAAAAGGGGCAUUGGUCAAAGUAUUGUUUGUGGUAGGGACUUCCUUCACAGUGACGAGAAUAGCCAGACACAUAAAUCUCUAAUAUUAACCUCUUG
rnacentral:lncRNA from 1 species